AGUCCGCUAGAGUCCGCGCGCCGGGCAACCGCCCGGGGCUGAAGUCCUCCCCACACCAUGAUCCUUCCGUCCUUUAUUUUCUUUCUUUUUAAAAAGAAACAAGAUCUUGCUCUGUCGCCCAGGCUGGAGUGCAGUGCGCGAUCAUAGCUCACUGCAGCCUUGAACUCUUGGGCUAAUUUUUAUUUUUUGUAGAGAUGGGGUCUCGCUACGUUGCCCAGCUUCGAGUUACUUCCAGAACGUCGCAGCACACGUUAUCACUUCCUGCAUGACGUCUUUAUAGAAUUUGGUGACAAUGUCGCAGUCCAGGAGGGAGGCCCGCAGCCAGCAUCACCAGCCCCUUCCUGUUUGCACAGGCAGGGAGGAGAACGGCAGCUCCCAGGCUUCCACUGGGGAGUCCCUCCGGCUUUCUCCGGGAUUCCGCCCGCCCCAGGGUCUCAGACCAACAGAAGGACCCGGGAUCCCUCAGCAGCUCCGGACCUCAUCUGCCCCACUUCGGCAUCCCGCGCGGGAAUAUGACCAUGUAGGAGUAACCCGGGGCUCUCAAGGACUCUACGGUUUGUCACGGUUUGAACGCAAGCGCAGGGCCUGGGGCGGGUGCAGGUGGAGGGUCGGCCUCUUUCUGCCCUUGGGAACGCCCCUUUCUGGAUGUGGACCGGCGAGGCGGUCUCUCCUUUCUGCCCUCGCCUGGUGAAAUGUGGGCACUGCUGCCAGGAGAAAAAAAACUGAAGCUGUGAAUUCAGUUCAUCACCCUUCCCUUGUUUAUUAAAAAAUCGGACCUUGGCCGGGCGCGGUGGCUCACGCCUGUAAUCCCAGCACUUUGGGAGGCCGAGGCAGGCAGAUUAGGAGGUCAGGAGAUCGAGACCAUCUUGGUUAACACGGUGAAGCCCGGUCUCUACUAAAAAUACAAAAAAGUUAGCAGGGUGGUGGCGGUCGCCUGUUGUCCCAGCUGCUCGGGAGGCUGAGGCAGGAGAAUGGCGUGAACCCGGGAGGCGGAGCUUGCAGUGAGCCGAGGUCGUGCCACUGCACUCCAGCCUGGGUGAAAAAAUAAAAAAAAAAAAAGAUCAGGACCUUUACCCGCGCUGACGGUGAUUGGUUUUCAUGACCAAUAAAGAAAUUCGAAUGAGAUGAAGCUACUUACACCUGUGUUUUUACUGUUCCUUUAAAAUGCCCUAAUUUCACAACCAUGUGAAAAUUCCUGCCAUCUCUCCCCCAAGGCAUUUAUACAAGGAUGUACUUAGAUAUUUAGAUGUAUUUAAAUUUAUGCUUUUCUUUUCUUUUUUUUUUUUUUUUGAGACGGAGUCUGACUCUGUUUCCCAGGCUGGAGUGCAGGGCGUGAUCUCGGCUCACUGCGACCUCUGCCUUCCGGGUUCAAGAGAUUCUCCUGACUCAGCCUCCUGAGUAGCUGGGAUUACAGGCGCGCCAUCAAGCUCAGCUAAUUUUUUGUAUUUUUAGUAGAGCCAGUUUCACCAUUUUGGCCAGGCUGGUCUCGAACUCAUGACCUCAAGUGAUCCGCCCGCCUCAACCUCCCAAAGUGCUGGGAUUACAGGCGUAAACCACCGCACCCGGCCCAAACUGAUGCUUUUUACCGACAGAUGAAGGAAAUUCUUAAAUGCUCACAAUUGUUAUCUGCCUUUUUAAAAUUAGAGGGAUGCUGGGUUUAACAUUUUUCAUUUAAGAUCCCACGGAGAAUUAACAUAAUAAUUUCUCCGUAGGUAAAGAGGUAAUUUGAUGAAUGUUACUAGUUUUCUUUCAAAUAGCUAUUUGGAUUAUUGGAAAAUUCCCUAAGUAGGCAUCUUUAAUAAUUAUGUUAUUAAAAUAAAAAUAUUUUAGAACAAUUGAAGCAGAACAUUAAUGGAAUGUAAACAUUAUCACAAGAAUGAAAAGUUCUUUCCCCUUUGGUAUUAGGCAUUUAUUCAUUUCUUAUUAAAGUUGACCUUUUGAAGAUUACUUCAAAAUUAGCUUCCCCCCACUUCCAGUAAUGUGCUUGGUUACUUACGUAUUGAAAGUAACCUUGCAGACAAGUUUUGAAACACAAUUUUCAAAAUGAUCUAAGGAAUAGUUUUCCCCAUAUAUAUAAAUUAAAUGAUUUGUUAAAUAAUAGCCAUAUUUGAACAGCUAAGUAAAAUGUUUGAGUUUUAAAAUCUUGGAUUAAAUUGUUCAAACUGGCUAGGGGAAGUGGGUCACGCCUGUAAUCCCAGCACUUUGAGAGGCUGAGGCAGGUGGAUCACCUGAGGUCAGGAGCUCCAGACCAGUCUGGCUAACAUGUUAAAAACCCGUCUCUACUAAAAGUACCA
rnacentral:lncRNA from 10 species